rnacentral:rRNA from 1 species
GACGUAGGGCGCGAGCGUUGUCCGGAUUUAUUGGGCGUAAAGAGCUCGUAGGCGGCUUGUCGCGUCGUUCGUGAAAACCCGGGGCUCAACUCCGGAUCUGCGGUGGGUACGGGCAGACUAGAGUGAUGUAGGGGAGACUGGAAUUCCUGGUGUAGCGGUGAAAUGCGCAGAUAUCAGGAGGAACACCGAUGGCGAAGGCAGGUCUCUGGGCAUUAACUGACGCUGAGGAGCGAAAGCAUGGGGAGCGAACAGG